AUAUAUAUAUAUAAUAUAUAUAUAUAUAUAUAUAUAUACGGAGGCCCCCUUCGGUCAAGAAUGACUAUGAGAUUGCACCUAGAAAGUUACCCUCUGAGGCACAAUUCUGGGUUUAUGGAAGAUCGGCAGUCACCCAUGCAUACCAGCCUCCCUUCUCCAUGCCACCAGUGUUAUCCAAGGGAAAGGCAAAGGGCGAUACGACUUGGCAUCAGUAAUGUUGCAAAUCAUUUCUACAGUUGAGUGAACUGGAGCAAGGUGA